rnacentral:rRNA from 1 species
UACGUAGGGCGCAAGCGUUAUCCGGAAUUAUUUGGGCGUAAAGAGCUCGUAGGCGGUUUGUCGCGUCUGCCGUGAAAGUCCGGGGCUCAACUCCGGAUCUGCGGUGGGUACGGGCAGACUAGAGUGAUGUAGGGGAGACUGGAAUUCCUGGUGUAGCGGUGAAAUGCGCAGAUAUCGGGAGGAACACCGGUGGCGAAGGCGGUUCUACUGGGCCUGUACUGACACUGAGGAGCGAAAGCGUGGGGAGCAAACAGG